rnacentral:rRNA from 1 species
AUUGAACGCUGGCGGCAUGCCUAACACAUGCAAGUCGAACGGCAGCAUAAGUAGAGCUUGCUCUACUUGAUGGCGAGUGGCGGACGGGUGAGUAAUAUGUAGGAAUCUACCUAGAGGAGCGGGAUAACUUAGGGAAACUUAAGCUAAUACCACAUAAUCCCUACGGGGGAAAGCAGGGGAUCUUCGGACCUUGCGCCUUAUGAUGAGCCUACAUCGGAUUAGCUAGUUGGUGGGGUAAAGGCCUACCAAGGCGACGAUCCGUAGCUGGUCUGAGAGGAUGACCAGCCAAACUGGGACUGGGACACGGCCCAGACGCCGACGGGAGGCAGCAGUGAGGAAGAUUGGACAAUGGGCGGAAGCCUGAUCCAGCAAUGCCGGGUGUGUGAAGAAGGCCUUAGGGUUGUAAAGCACUUUCAGUGGGGAUGAAGUUGUAGAUGUUAAUACCAUUUGCAAUUGACGUUACCCACAGAAGAAGCACCGGCUAACUCUGUGCCAGCAGCCGCCGUAAAAC